rnacentral:rRNA from 1 species
AAUGAACGCUGGCGGCAGGCCUAACACAUGCAAGUCGAACGGUAACAGGAAGCAGCUUUCUGCUUUUCUAGCGGGGAGCGGACGGGUGAGUCAUGUGUGGGAAACCGCCCGCUGGGGGGGGAUAACUACUGGAAACGGUUACUAAUACCGCAUAACGCCUGCAGCACAAAGAGGGGGGCCUUAGGGCGUCUUGUCAUCGUGUAUGCCCAGAUGGGAAUAGCUAGUAGGUGGGGUAACGGCUCCCCUAGGCGAACAUCCGUAGGUGGUCUGAGGGGAUGACCAGCCACACUGGAACUGAGACACGGUCCAGACUCCUACGGGAGGCAGCAGUGGGGAAUAUUGCACAAUGGGCGCAAGCCUGAUGCAGCCAUGCCGCGUGUAUGAAGAAGGCCUUCGGGUUGUAAAGUACUUUCAGCGGGGAGGAAGGGAGUAAAGUUAAUACCUUGGCUCAUUGACGUUACCCGCAGAAGAAGCACCGGCUAACUCCGUG